rnacentral:tRNA from 1 species
AAGCCCCGGAGCCUUUUUAGGGCUCCUUUUCAAACUUGCAUUUUGAUGUGGGUCACUUCGGGGCUUU